rnacentral:rRNA from 1 species
GACGAACGCUGGCGGCGUGCUUAACACAUGCAAGUCGAACGGAAAGGCCCUGCUUUUGUGGGGUGCUCGAUUGGCGAACGGGUGAGUAACACGUGAGUAACCUGCCCUUGACUUUGGGAUAACUUCAGGAAACUGGGGCUAAUACCGGAUAGGAGCUCCUGCUGCAUGGUGGGGGUUGGAAAGUUUCGGCGGUUGGGGAUGGACUCGCGGCUUAUCAGCUUGUUGGUGGGGUAGUGGCUUACCAAGGCUUUGACGGGUAGCCGGCCUGAGAGGGUGACCGGCCACAUUGGGCCUGAGGUACGGCCCAGACUCCUACGGGAGGCAGCAGUGGGGAAUAUUGCACAAUGGGCGGAAGCCUGAUGCAGCAACGCCGCGUGCGGGAUGACGGCCUUCGGGUUGUAAACCGCUUUCGCCUGUGACGAAGCGUGAGUGACGGUAAUGGGUAAAGAAGCACCGGCUAACUACGUG